UACGGGGGGAGCAAGCGUUGUUCGGAUUUACUGGGCGUAAAGGGCGCGUAGGCGGCGCAACAAGUCACUUGUGAAAUCUCCGGGCUUAACCCGGAGCGGCCAAGUGAUACUGUCGUGCUAGAGUGCGGAAGGGGCUACUGGAAUUCUCGGUGUAGCGGUGAAAUGCGUAGAUAUCGAGAGGAACACCUGCGGCGAAGGCGGGUAGCUGGGCCGACACUGACGCUCAGGCACGAAAGCAUGGGGAGCAAAAGGG
rnacentral:rRNA from 1 species